GCGCAGCAGGCGAGAAACCUCCGCAAUGCGGGAAACCGUGACGGGGUCACCCCGAGUGCCACCCGAUGAGGGUGGCUUUUCCCCGGUCUAAAAAGCCGGGGGCAAUAAGCGGGGGGCAAGUCUGGUGUCAGCCGCCGCGGUAAUACCAGCCCCGCGAGUGGUCGGGACGUUUAUUGGGCCUAAAGCGUCCGUAGCCGGCUCGGUAAGUCCCUCCUUAAAUCCACGGGCUCAACCCGUGGGCUGGGAGGGAUACUGCCGGGCUAGGGGGCGGGAGAGGCCGAGGGUACUCCCGGGGUAGGGGCGAAAUCCGUUAAUCCCGGGAGGACCACCAGUGGCGAAGGCGCUCGGCUGGAACGCGCCCGACGGUGAGGGACGAAAGCUGGGGGAGCAAAGGGGAUUAGAUACCCGUGUAGU
rnacentral:rRNA from 1 species